rnacentral:rRNA from 1 species
AAUGCUUACACAUGCAAGUCGGCUGGAAUUCUUCUUCGGAAGAUAGUACGGUGGCGGACGGGUGAGUAACGCGUAAAGAAUUUGCCCUUCAGACUGGGACAACUAAUCGAAAGGUUAGCUAAUACCGGAUAUUAUGAGACCUCGGCAUCGGGGACUUAUGAAAGCUAUAUGCGCUGGAGGAGAACUUUGCGUUCCAUUAGCUAGUUGGUAGGGUAAUGGCCCACCAAGGCGACGAUGGAUAGCCGGCCUGAGAGGGUGAACGGCCACAAGGGGACUGAGACACGGCCCUUACUCCUACGGGAGGCAGCAGUGGGGAAUAUUGGACAAUGGACCAAAAGUCUGAUCCAGCAAUUCUGUGUGCACGAUGAAGGUCUUCGGAUUGUAAAGUGCUUUCAGGUGGGAAGAAGAAAGUGACGGUACCACCAGAAGAAGCGACGGCUAAAUACGUGCCAGCAGCCGCGGUAAUACGUAUGUCGCAAGCGUUAUCCGGAAUUAUUGGGCGUAAAGCGAGUCUAGGCGGCUUGUUAAGUCAGAUGUGAAAAUGCGGGGCUCAACUCCGUAUUGCGUUUGAAACUGGCAGGCUAGAGUACUGGAGAGGUGGGCGGAACUACAAGUGUAGAGGUGAAAUUCGUAGAUAUUUGUAGGAAUGCCGAUAGUGAAGACAGCUCACUGGACAGAUACUGACGCUAAAGCUCGAAAGCGUGGGGAGCGAACAGGAUUAGAUACCCUGGUAGUCCACGCCGUAAACGAUGUUCACUGGGUGUAGGGGGUCGAACCUCUGUGCCGAAGCUAACGCGAUAAGUGAACCGCCUGGGGAGUACGCACGCAAGUGUGAAACUCAAAGGAAUUGACGGGGACCCGCACAAGCGGUGGAGCAUGUGGUUUAAUUCCGACGCAACGC